rnacentral:tRNA from 1 species
GCCUCAGAAGUUCAAAAAAUAAGAAUAAGAUUAUGAAAAAAAUCAAGGAUGCAGAACAAACAUCUGCCUAAGGCA